rnacentral:lncRNA from 1 species
UUACAAGGAAUUAGAUAUUGUCAGGAUUUGUCUAAGUAAACAUUUUAUGGCUGGUUUGUGGCAGAUUUUGAUCGGUCGGUUGUGCCAUACCGUCUGAGUCAGUUCCGAGGUGUACACCCACAAAUCAUGCUCAUCAAAUUCUAGAAAUGGAACGAGUGGCUCCAAGCAAAUGCAAGCCUCAAAAAGCAACGAUCAUGGAUGUUCAGCCAGGGAAUUGCUUGUGACAAAUCAUGGCCUCAAGCUUCCUUUUAGCAAUUUGGCAUGAAAGCAAAUUACAGGUC